GCACUCACUUGAGUCAUUUGUAUUAUGAUGAUGGCGAUUUUCACACGUUGAAUACUUGAGUACUGUAUUUUUAUCCGAUGCGUUUGUUUCUUUUAAUUACCGCGCGUUGUACGACAACGAUGUUCGAUUCCAGGCCGGUAGACUUAAGGGGUUUCUCGAACGCUGUUGAUCUUGAGUAGAUGUAUUUUGAAACGAACAUCUGACGUCUUGUCACCUUAAAGCAAUGUGUUUUUUGUUUUGUUUUUUUUUGGGGGGGGGGUGCGUCUGCCGAAAUAGCAGAGCGAAACGGUCUCUUUGGCCACGUGAUUCUUUGCAUGCAAGCUAACCGAAUGACCGAGACGAUGGAUUUUGGAAUACUGUAAUGAACAUGACCGGAUUGAAUGGUUUAAGUAGACUCGCGUUGCUUUCCCAACGCAACGGCUCAACUAGUCACUACCGAUGUUUAAAGCGAGCACCUUUUAAAAUGUAUAAUUAGCGUUAGUCUCGGGUCAGCUCCGCUGCCGCGUGCUGUUCAAAGUUUGGGGGGGUUGGCCUUCUUGAGCGGCCUCUUCCCGUGACAGCCGUGGCCACAGCACUUCAGGUUUUGCUUUCACCGCCGCACUAUUGGUUGCUGCACGGUGUCAAUGAGGCUUGAGACAUGACUCGUCUGUCAUUUGCCUGCCGAUUUGUCACCUGAUGCUAAAGUUAUUCCUCGACGUUUUGUGUGAAAACUCUUUCCUGAACGGGCUCUCACUGUGAAUCCCAACCUGAAUGUGGCAUUUCCUUGCAGGGUGGGGUGACGUAGCUUUCGCGGCUGGCUCGAGAGUCAGGAGACUGAAAUGCGAGCGGCGCGGACACCCGCAGCGGCUCCUCUUGUUUUAUGUUGAGAAGGAAGAAAUUUCAUCUGUCCUGUAUGGUACAUACAGUACAUUUGACAAUAAAGUUUAUCCAAACCCCCCCGCCGUGGUUCCAGCGAGGUAGCGCCGAGGCCAAGCUGAGCCCACCCGUAACCUUCCAGCAGAUGAUUGCCAGCCGAGUUGACAGAGUUCCUUCUUCCGCAAGCAUA